rnacentral:rRNA from 1 species
UUGGAGGGCAAGUCUGGUGCCAGCAGCCGCGGUAAUUCCAGCUCCAAUAGCGUAUAUUAAAGUUGUUGCAGUUAAAAAGCUCGUAGUUGAAUUUCGGGAUCAAUGCGUCGGUCGUGCCUUCGGUACGUACUAGCGUCAUUGAUUCCUCCCUUCUGAAGAACCGUGAUGUCAUUAAUUUGGUGUUACGGGGAAUCAGGACUGUUACCUUGAAAAAAUUAGAGUGUUUAAAGCAGGCUAACGCUUGAAUACAUUAGCAUGGAAUAAUGAAAUAGGACGUUCGAACCUAUUUUGUUGGUUUCUAGGAUCGACGUAAUGAUUAAUAGGGAUGGUUGGGGGCAUUAGUAUUCAAUUGUCAGAGGUGAAAUUCUUGGAUUUAUUGAAGACUAACUACUGCGAAAGCAUUUGCCAAGGAUGUUUUCAUUAAUCAAGAACGAAAGUUAGGGGAUCGAAGACGAUCAGAUACCGUCGUAGUCUUAACCAUAAACUAUGCCGACUGGGGAUCGGAUGAUGUUAAUUUUUUAAUGACUCAUUCGGCACCUUACGGGAAAC